rnacentral:piRNA from 1 species
AGGUGUCCGGCUGUCAUGUCCUGUGA